AUUGAACGCUGGCGGCAGGCCUAACACAUGCAAGUCGAACGGUAACAGGAAGAAGCUUGCUUCUUUGCUGACGAGUGGCGGACGGGUGAGUAAUGUCUGGGAAACUGCCUGAUGGAGGGGGAUAACUACUGGAAACGGUAGCUAAUACCGCAUAACGUCGCAAGACCAAAGAGGGGGACCUUCGGGCCCCUUGCCAUCGGAGGUGCCCAGAUGGGAUUAGCUAGUAGGUGGGGUAACGGCUCACCUAGGCGACGAUCCCUAGCUGGUCUGAGAGGAUGACCAGCCACACUGGAACUGAGACACGGUCCAGACUCCUACGGGAGGCAGCAGUGGGGAAUAUUGCACAAUGGGCGCAAGCCUGAUGCAGCCAUGCCGCGUGUAUGAAGAAGGCCUUCGGGUUGUAAAGUACUUUCAGCGGGGAGGAAGGGAGUAAAGUUAAUACCUUUACUCAUUGACGUUACCCGCAGAAGAAGCACCGGCUAACUCCGUG
rnacentral:rRNA from 1 species